UAUGCUGAUAACAGUAAGCUAGCAGCUCCUAGCUAGCGUCGCCUGGCUAUUUGUGGCUAGCUGAAGCAGAAGCAGUCGGUUGUUUUCGCCUCGGGACUCGCACUAACCGUGAUAGACGCUGUCCUCAGUAAAGUGCCGGUUGACCACGCGGGGUUGUCAUUGAUUGUCGACAAGAGGAGACAUGUUUCCCGUAAAUAAACAAAUAGACGAGGCUGGACACUGUCAGAACUGACAGGUGAGGAAACAAAAACUUCCGGGAGUCACUCGGCUGCUGGAGCCCCUUUCAAAAUAAAGUGCGAGGACGCGAAGGAAGCUUGGUGGUGAACUGGACUGUGGAAGCAAGAGACCAACAAGUGGUAUUAAAAGAGGACACCUGAGUAAAACAUGUGAAAUACAAUAACUGGUCCAUGGCUGCAGAGGGCGCUGCAAAGAACAAUGACAUGUGAAGAGAACCCAGAGAUCUCCAUCUUGAAGACUGAAGAAAGUAAGCUCAACACUUGCACAUGACAGCACAAUGUG